CGUAGAUACAGUGGACAAAGGGAUGACUCCUGCCCUGGACUGGAAGGAAAGGGAGCAUUCAAGAUCUCAUCACACCACUCAGAGUGGCCUGCAAUUAAAGCACAGGAAUUGGUCUGAUCUGAAAUACCCCAUUUAACAUAUCAGGCCGCAGAUGCGAAACCACGAGUAAGGGGUGUUAGUGUAACACAAAUUCACUCAGGUAGGAUGUGAUUCUGUGUCUGCUGAAUAGAGGACAGGACUGCAGCUGACCAGCAAAAAUGCUCAAACUUGAACUCUCCACAACAGAGACACCUCCAGCCACAAACUUCAGCAGUGCUAAAGUUUGAACAAGAUUGGGGUCACGGACAUUUCCGCUCCCCAGGGUGGACAUUCUCUCCUUGAGGUCUUCAUGGGAUAAUAUCUGUGAAGCUGUUCCUCCUCCUCAGCAAGAUUUCAAGCGCCCUGUGGUUGUGGGCACGCACAUCAGCUGUCCUUGACUCAGACCUAGAGCAGCACAGUAGCUGAGGAGGCUACAACUCCCUG